UACGGGGGGAGCAAGCGUUGUUCGGAUUUACUGGGCGUAAAGGGCGCGUAGGCGGCCACCGCAGGUCAGUUGUGAAAUCUCUGGGCUUAACCCAGAAAGGUCAACUGAUACUGCGGGGCUAGAGUGCAGAAGGGGCAACUGGAAUUCUCGGUGUAGCGGUGAAAUGCGUAGAUAUCGAGAGGAACACCUGCGGCGAAGGCGGGUUGCUGGGCUGACACUGACGCUGAUGCGCGAAAGCUAGGGGAGCGAACGGG
rnacentral:rRNA from 1 species